UUUGAUCGACUCUCUGUUAUCCACAACUAAGUCGGCCGAGCUUGAGCUCUCACGGACAAGGAUCAAGCAUCUGGUCUGCAGCACCUUCCACGGCGCUUCUCGUUCCCCAAGCAGCCGCAGGAGGAAGCCAUGACAUCUCCCGCCGUGAGCAUUACUGUCGCAGAGGCCGUCUGGGAGCAGAUCAAAUCCUCACGAUCAGCCUCGGACGAUCACCUGUCGAUUUUGCAAUUCCUCUUCGGCAGGAACUUGGAGCGCGCCACAAGGAUCGUCGACCAGGGCGGCGUGCGUAAGGUCUCCGCCGCGCCCAGCGGCCGCUCCUUCUUCCUGGUUGUCGGGGAGUCAAAGAGGAAGGAAGAGUAUAUCUGCUUCCCGGAGCACCACUGCACUUGCUAUUCCUUCUUCUACGACGUCGUCAAUCGUGGGGAGCAACUCUGCGUGGGCUCUCUUGGAGAUUCUGGGUUCCAAUUUGAUGGCUUGGUUGUGUUAAAUUGCUUUGGUCUCAUUUUUGUCGUUCUUGUUUUAGUGCAAGCAUCAAAUAGCGGCUCGACUGGCAGAAGCCGUAGGCGAGGUUAUGGAAGUGGAGGUGUCCGAUGAGCAGCUAGCAACGAUGCUCUCGAAGCUCUGACAAACAAAGCGCCCCCGAGAGUGGAUAUACUGAUGGAUGCUACUGUUUACAGAUGUCUGACGCAUCAGAAGUUUGGAUCCAACCCAAGUUCUGAGUCUAAGCUUGUCACAAAUCCGGUGUCGUGAAGAUGGGAUUUGGCUGGAUCAACAUAGGCUGAACUGCGAGCUCGAGAUCUGCAAGCUCACGUGGACACCGAAGAGGAUGCUUGGUGGUGCUUACUAUAUGCCGGUGCAUGGGUAGGCUGCCCUAGAAGAAGUGUUUAUGUUGAAAGAAGCUCGAGUUUUGCUAGCUCUAGAACGAUGUUUUGAUAUCAUAGGAAUAAAAGAGUUUCACAUUGAUGCAAUGAAAAUGUUGACCUCUUUAUCUGAAAACAGAAAUAUUUUAAUA